rnacentral:rRNA from 1 species
UACGGAGGGUGCGAGCGUUGUUCGGAAUUACUGGGCGUAAAGCGCGUGUAGGCGGCCGAUUAAGUCUGGUGUGAAAGCCCGGGGCUCACCCCCGGAAGUGCGCUGGAAACUGGGUGGCUAGAGUGCGGGAGAGGAGAGUGGAAUUCCUGGUGUAGCGGUGGAAUGCGCAGAUAUCAGGAAGAACACCCGUGGCGAAGGCGGCUCUCUGGAACGCAACUGACGCUGAGACGCGAAAGCGUGGGGAGCGAACAGG